AAGACACAAAUCAACUCAAAGCAGUGCUAUAGUCAUGCAGUCUGUUCAACCACCAAUCUCCUCAGAUAAUGAGGAAGGAGCUGAUCUGCACUAUGCAGCCUUUCAGCACCUCAACCCAACCCAAGCUGGGCCUUCUGCAAAGCAGUCUGAGGACACCGUGACCUACAGCACCAUCAUGCAGUUAUCUGGUGGUGAAGACCAGAACAGCAGCAGACCUGCUGGCAGACCUGUGGACCCCACUGCUUUG